rnacentral:lncRNA from 1 species
CAAAGGAAAGGACCAAGCUCGGUUGAGGCGCGGCCCAGCCGCAGCCGCAGUCACAGCCUCAGCCGCAGCGGCCGUGCUACCUAGGUGAUAGCGGAGCGGCUGGGUAGGAAGCAAUUGUUCUCAAACUUCACUAGCCCCGUCGGCGCGGACGCUUGUCGAGAAUGCAGAUUCCUGGAAUUGAGCAUACCACAAAAAAGUUCUCAUUUUGUGUCCUCCCAUCCCAUUCUCCUCACUAACCAAAGGUGAAGAGAACUGCAAAGGAAUUGUAUUAGAAAGGAGUUAUUAGUGGAGCCAGGAGAGGCACAUGACUGGCUCAGGAGGCUUCUCCUUCUGGCAAAAGCAUAUUCCUGAAUUUAACCAAAGCGGCAUCAGAGGCUUUACUGAGAAAACUGAUGAGGAAAGCCAGCCUCCCACUGGUCUCACUAUUGACAAUACCCAAGGCAAGGCACAGAGGAAAGGAGCCAUUGAUACAUCCAAUCUCUCACCUACCAAGCUGGAAGAAGAGUAG